rnacentral:rRNA from 1 species
UGAGGAAUAUUGGUCAAUGGACGCAAGUCUGAACCAGCCAAGUAGCGUGCAGGAUGACGGCCCUAUGGGUUGUAAACUGCUUUUAUAUGGGGAUAAAGUGGGGAACGUGUUCCCUUUUGCAGGUACCAUAUAAAUAAGGACCGGCUAAUUCCGUGCCAGCAGCCGCGGUAAUACGGAAGGUUCGGGCGUUAUCCGGAUUUAUUGGGUUUAAAGGGAGCGUAGGCCGUUUGGUAAGCGUGUUGUGAAAUGUAGGAGCUCAACUUCUAGAUUGCAGCGCGAACUGUCAGACUUGAGUGCGCACAACGUAGGCGGAAUUCAUGGUGUAGCGGUGAAAUGCUUAGAUAUCAUGAAGAACUCCGAUUGCGAAGGCAGCUUACGGGAGCGCAACUGACGCUGAAGCUCGAAGGUGCGGGUAUCGAACAGG